UGGGGAAUAUUGCACAAUGGGGGAAACCCUGAUGCAGCGACGCCGCGUGAGCGAAGAAGUAUUUCGGUAUGUAAAGCUCUAUCAGCAGGGAAGAUAAUGACGGUACCUGACUAAGAAGCUCCGGCUAAAUACGUGCCAGCAGCCGCGGUAAUACGUAUGGAGCAAGCGUUAUCCGGAUUUACUGGGUGUAAAGGGAGCGUAGACGGUUGUGCAAGUCUGAUGUGAAAUUCCAGGGCUUAACCCUGGACCUGCAUUGGAAACUGUAUAACUAGAGUGUCGGAGAGGUGAGUGGAAUUCCUAGUGUAGCGGUGAAAUGCGUAGAUAUUAGGAGGAACACCAGUGGCGAAGGCGGCUCACUGGACGAUAACUGACGUUGAGGCUCGAAAGCGUGGGGAGCAAA
rnacentral:rRNA from 1 species